CGAAAGCCUGACGGAGCAAUACCGCGUGGGGGAGGAAGGCCCUUGGGUUGUAAACCCCUUUUGUCAGGGAAGAACACAAUGACGGUACCUGACGAAUCAGCCUCGGCUAACUCCGUGCCAGCAGCCGCGGUAAGACGGAGGAGGCAAGCGUUAUCCGGAAUUAUUGGGCGUAAAGGGUUCGCAGGUGGUAGUGUAAGUCUGCUGUUAAAGGUCGGGGCUCAACCCCGAACAGGCAGUGGAAACUACAGAACUAGAGUGCGGUAGGGGCAGAGGGAAUUCCUGGUGUAGCGGUGAAAUGCGUAGAGAUCAGGAAGAACACCGGUGGCGAAAGCGCUCUGCUAGGCCGCAACUGACACUCAGGGACGAAAGC
rnacentral:rRNA from 1 species